GGCCUAGGAGACCAGCGUUCAACUCUCUGCUCAGUCAGGAAGCUCACUGGAUGACCUUGGGCCAGCCAUUGACUCUCAGCCUAACCUACCUCACAGGGUUGUUGUUGUGAAUAUUAAAUUGGGAGGGGGAGAACCAGACAAGCAAGAGGCACUAGUAGAGUUCGUUGACACAUUCCAGCCACAUGGCUGGAGGAUCUCAUUUGGCUCCUGGACGUGAGGCUCUACACUCCAGUAUUACAGGAUGUAGCUGCCAUUAUAUUGUAUUAGAAGACUACUUGCAAACAAACAAUUUCUAAGCCCCUGGAUAUUUUGAGGUGAGCCAGUGCUAAAACAAAGCAGCAGCCAUGGGAA